rnacentral:rRNA from 1 species
GAUGAACGCUGGCGGCGUGCCUAAUACAUGCAAGUCGAGCGAACAGACGAGGAGCUUGCGGCUCUGACGUUAGCGGCGGACGGGUGAGUAACGCGUGGACAACCUACAUAUAAGGCUGGGAUAACGUCGGGAAACCGGAGCUAAGACCGGAUAAUAUAUUGAACCGCAGGGUUGAAUAGUGAAAGAGGGUUUGGAUGUGACUUAGAGAUGGAUGCGCACCGAAUGAGCUAGGUGGUAAGGUAACGGCCUACCAUGGCAAGGAUGGGUAGCCGACCUGGGAGGCGGGUCGGCCACACUGGAACGGAGACACGCUCCUGACUCCUACGGGAGGCAGCAGUAGGCAAUCUUCCGCAAUAGGCGGAAGCCUGGCGGAGCAACGCCGCGUGAGUGAUGGCGGUCUUCGGAUCGUGAUACUCUGCUAUUAGGGAAGAACCACUGUGUACGUAAAUAUGCCCGUCUUGACGGUACCUAAACAGAAAGCCCCGGCUAACUACGUG